rnacentral:lncRNA from 1 species
UAAGAGACCCUCACCUUUUUUCUCUUCCAGCAAAAGCUUGUUUUCACGGUGAUAGCAAGAAAGAGGUACCAGGACUCCCUCAGCAGAAUCUUUCAGAGGAAUGAAGGAGUAGCUGCAGCCAAAAUCAUUGGUCCUCAUGCGGUGCUGAGGGGAAGUGAUUUUAUCACCUGGAAAGGACAGGAUGGUCCUGUGCAAAGCAUGCACGUGUAUGGCACUCACAAACCUGCAUGUACAUGGCUUGUCCUGGCAGCCAGCUAAGGACACAGUUAUCUUCACUCACCUGUAAAUGUAACCAUGCACCACCUGUACUUCCCUGCAGCAUCAG